CUGCCCCGUGCCUUCUGGCUCAUGCUGGCAGCAAAUGUCAGAGUUGCUCAUCUGAGGAUACCAGAUGAUCCCCGUGAAGGCUGAGCAAUGUGCAUAGCAGGUUCUGGAAUGAAGGUCAUCGAUGCCCAACGAGAUCCUGAGACAAACUCCGUGGGAAUGUAACAUGAAAUAUCUCGACAAGUUUUGCCGUCUUAGGUCCCAUGACAAAAACAGUGAUGGAAUCCGGGCUCCAAUUUCCAAGUUUUAUCCUGAACCCAAAGACCUUUUACAAGAUGCAGCAGGGAAGGUAUUGGCGAGCCACCACAGACUGGGGAAUACCUUGCAGGAGAGACUGGGGCUGAAACAAUGUGGACGGUUGGGACCACACCUUGACUAGAACAGCUUACUUUUGUAUACAUCAUCUUUCUAGUUAAACAUAAACCUCAUGCCAGGACCCCCAAGAUGAACUUGAAGGGUCAUUGGGUUUCUCUAUUAAUUUGUUUCCCCAGUGCAGCCACGUUGAGUCAGUCUCCAUUCUCUGCUUUUCACUAUCAUUAUCUCUUGAGUUGGCCCAUUGAGGACAGGUGGCUGAGCCUAGCUAGGUUGUUAGACCUGUCAUGAGAAACAGACAAGCAUGCUUGUGUCUUUUCACAAUGUCAGAUUUUAUUGAAUAACAAUAAAUUCACAUGGUACAGCCAUUUAAAUGA